ensembl:snoRNA SNORA73 Small nucleolar RNA SNORA73 family
ACAACGUGGAUACACCCGGGAGGUCACUCCCCGGGCUCUGUCCAGGUGGCAUAGGGGAGCAUAGGGUUUUGCCCCAUGAUGUAAAGUCCCUUUCCACGACGUUGGAGAUGAAGCUGGGCCUUGAGUCUGCACCUGCAUAUUCCUACGACUUCCCAGAGUCCUGUGGACAAUGACUGGGGAGACAAACCAUGCAGGAAACAGUC